rnacentral:rRNA from 1 species
AUUGAACGCUGGCGGCAGGCCUAACACAUGCAAGUCGAACGAGUGGCGGACGGGUGAGUAAUGUCUGGGAAACUGUCUGAUGGAGGGGGAUAACUACUGGAAACGGUAGCUAAUACCGCAUACCAUCGGAUGUGCCCAGCUGGGUUUAGCUAGUAGGUGGGGUAACGGCUCACCGAGGCGACGAUCCCUAGCUGGUCUGAGAGGGUGACCAGCCACACUGGUACGGUGACACGGUCCCGAAGCCCACGGGAGGGAGGAUUUGGGAAUAUUGCACAAAGGGCGCAAUCCUGCAGCAGCCAUGCCGCGUGUAUGAAGGAGGCCUUCGGGUUGGAAAGUACUUUCAGCGGGGGGGCGUUACCCUCAGAAGAAGCACCCGCUAACUCCCUUGCAGCCGCCGCGGUAAUAC